GUAACAAGGUCUCCGUUGGUGAACCAGCGGAGGGAUCAUUACCGAGUUUACAACUCCCAAACCCCUGUGAACAUACCUUAAUGUUGCCUCGGCGGAUCAGCCCGCGCCCCGUAAAACGGGACGGCCCGCCAGAGGACCCAAACUCUAAUGUUUCUUAUUGUAACUUCUGAGUAAAACAAACAAAUAAAUCAAAACUUUCAACAACGGAUCUCUUGGUUCUGGCAUCGAUGAAGAACGCAGCAAAAUGCGAUAAGUAAUGUGAAUUGCAGAAUUCAGUGAAUCAUCGAAUCUUUGAACGCACAUUGCGCCCGCUGGUAUUCCGGCGGGCAUGCCUGUUCGAGCGUCAUUUCAACCCUCAAGCCCCCGGGUUUGGUGUUGGGGAUCGGCUCUGCCUUACGGCGGUGCCGCCCCCGAAAUACAUUGGCGGUCUCGCUGCAGCCUCCAUUGCGUAGUAGCUAACACCUCGCAACUGGAACGCGGCGCGGCCAUGCCGUAAAACCCCAACUUCUGAAUGUUGACCUCGGAUCAGGUAGGAAUACCCGCUGAACUUAAGCAUAUCAA
rnacentral:rRNA from 1 species